GGAAACAAGACGCCAGUUAUAGACGUUGAGGAUGCCAAUAGUAAAAAAGAAAGCAGUACUAAGUGUGUACCGCGUUAGAAAGCGAAAGUCACCUGUAAUGAAAGCCGUGCUUGUUCCGGAUUUUGCUUCUGGGGCUGGCACUGUAUUGACUCCAAGUGCAAAUGUGGCUUUGGCAAAGCAAAUAAUCGACCUUCGGACAACCGUCAUUCAAUUCAUCUUGUUGUUAUAUGUUGUUGUUUCGAGUAUUUAUUACAUGUUUGUUGCUUUU